rnacentral:tRNA from 1 species
UGCAGCAGAUGGGGCGUGAUUACCCCGCGCUGGAAAUCAUCAAGCUGGAGCAGAACUAUCGCUGCUCCAACCGCGUGCUGCGCGCGGCCAAUGCGU